UACGUAGGGCGCAAGCGUUGUCCGGAAUUAUUGGGCGUAAAGAGCUCGUAGGUGGUUUGUCGCGUUGUUCGUGAAAACUCACAGCUCAACUGUGGGCGUGCGGGCGAUACGGGCAGACUUGAGUACUGCAGGGGAGACUGGAAUUCCUGGUGUAGCGGUGGAAUGCGCAGAUAUCAGGAGGAACACCGGUGGCGAAGGCGGGUCUCUGGGCAGUAACUGACGCUGAGGCGCGAAAGCGUGGGGAGCAAACAGG
rnacentral:rRNA from 1 species